AAUGGAGAAGGUGGAGUCGAUGUGUCAGGCGAUGAUGAGGUAGACCUGUUCACCCUUGAUUCUCACAGAGGUGCUAUCAUGAAUUUUGGUGAAAGCAUAGAGAGAAAAGAGAACACUGAAGAGGCAGAAUCUGAAACACCUGUACCGAUGAAGAAAUCAUCCGAAAACAACCUGAGGCGGAAAAAAGGAAGGAGGCUCGGUCCGAAACACCUGUACAGAUGAAGAAAUCAUCCGAAAACAACCUGAGGCGGAAAAAAGGAAGGAGUGUUCAAAAAGUUGAAGGUGGAAAAGUUGAUGUUGUCAAAUCUGUCAAGAAGAACUCAUUGAAGACGAGAGGGCGGAAGAAAAAAAGAAUUGCAUCAGACUUGGAGGAAUCUGAACCAGAAAUUGGUAACAUUCUAAAACCCUUGUAACUGGCUUCAUUUUUAUGUAAUGACAUGGCACACGCUUUAUCGCUGCCCAAUGUUUGUAUCUAUUGAUUACCUUCUGAAAUUGUACUUUAUAGUGUUAAACCUUUAUGCCUUUCACCUGUUGAGUAACUGCUGAAAAACAAUGAGAGAUCUUGGAGCCAAUUUUCUCUCUUGUUACACUAGUUCCUGUAAUCAGCGAGAGAUGCAUUUUAAUGUACUACACUGUUUGGUUGUAACCUACAGAUAUUUCGGUAGAUAUUUCUGUAGACUCUAAAGAACCAAUUCAGGAGAGAGAAACUAUUUCAAAUACUGGAAACACUUUGGUUGAAGUUGUGGACUCAAAAGAAUCACAUAGUAUGAAGAGUACUACAACAAUGAACGGACACAAGAAGUCAAAUCGAAAUGGAGCUUCAAAGAUGGAGGAGGUUAUGGACCAAGAAGUAGUGAAACCAAAUGCGGGUAUGAAAUCAGGAAAUGAUACUGACUUGUGGUGGUUCAAUCUUCCUUAUGUUCUUGUAUGUAUAUGGAUCAGGACCAAAAAGUAGUGAAACCAAACGGGGGUAUGAAAUCAGGAAAUGAUACUGACUUGUGGUGGUUCAGUCUUCCUUAUGUUCUUGUAUGUAUAUGGAUCUAUGCUCACUUCUUAUUUGUUUGUUUUCGACAGUUUGUAUUCCCACUAUUUGUGGUUCUAAGUAUUACAGCAAACUUGGUGAUGUCAAAAGAAAAAAAAAUGAUCUGAGCUCUGUUUAGAUUUUGAAAGGUGGGAUGUCUGAGAGGAAGCCAAUUUGUUGAACUGAAACCAUGUGAUGUUACUGCAGUUUACUUGAACUUGGGAUCAUUGCCUUGUCUCUUUUUUUUUUUGGGGGGGGNNNNNNNNNNNNNNNGGGGGGGGGGGGGGGGGGUUAACUAGGAUCCUUGUCUUAUCAUGUGAGAAAUAUUUAUCAGAUUUUAUUAGCAUCGUGCUAGAAGUGCUUUAACCAGCCAUUUUAGGGUUUUGUUUCCUGUCCUGUCCGUUUCCAAUUUUCCAAAGUCUGAAUAAAUGUGUUUGUUGUGGCUUUUGCUUCAUGCUUCUAUUAGUAACGUGCAUGUUAAUAUGCAGGUUAUACGGAUGCGGAGAGGUCAUGAAGAUGAAGGACCAGAAGGAUUAUUUGCCAUAAAAAGU
rnacentral:lncRNA from 1 species